rnacentral:rRNA from 1 species
AGUAGGGAAUCUUCCGCAAUGGACGAAAGUCUGACGGAGCAACGCCGCGUGAGUGAUGAAGGCUUUCGGGUCGUAAAACUCUGUUGUUAGGGAAGAACAAGUGCUAGUUGAAUAAGCUGGCACCUUGACGGUACCUAACCAGAAAGCCACGGCUAACUACGUGCCAGCAGCCGCGGUAAUACGUAGGUGGCAAGCGUUAUCCGGAAUUAUUGGGCGUAAAGCGCGCGCAGGUGGUUUCUUAAGUCUGAUGUGAAAGCCCACGGCUCAACCGUGGAGGGUCAUUGGAAACUGGGAGACUUGAGUGCAGAAGAGGAAAGUGGAAUUCCAU